GCUAUGAGUAAGUGCAAAGAGACGCACGCAUUCCUGCUAGGAAGGACGUCUUUGUCAGAGAGACGGCAGCUUCUGCAGAGAAACAGCUGGGGCCAUUACAGAUCCCUGCUUCACACAUGGCAAAAUACAGAGGCAAAGCAAAACCACGCUUGGGUGCCUGAAGGUCCAGCAUCGGGACGUGGCGGAGAGGCCACGGUGGCCAGCAGGGAUGCCAGCUCAGGGUUGCCGCCACCCACCUCCGGGCCCUUCUGGAUGUGCAGUUAUGCCAGAGGCGCACCAUUGACCGGACUCUCCUUCUCCAGUGGCUGGUGGUGGAGUUCAGUAUCCUAGGCACUUAUCUCUGACAAUGGAACAAAGCCUGGUUUGGAUCCAUUAGUGGUGAUUUGGGCUGUGAUGACCGCUCUCUGUCAGACCUCGCAGUCCUCAUCCUCCAAGGAAAUUUACAAAGCACCUUCCAAAGACGCGCCCAUGAACUCAACGCCAUCACCGCUCUGGACACGAAAAAUCAUGGACUGAACAGAGACAGGAGCUAUUGUCCUCACUACAGUCUGCCUAAACCCCAACCAUACCGGGUACUCAUACCAUAACCCACCAAAAAAAUAUUUUUCCUGCCCUCCUUGCUCAAUGCAGAAAGUAUGAUUGGCUUCAGAGCAAUGCAGCUGCCAUAUCCACUUGCACAGACUAUGGACAGAUUCCCCAGUAUACACAGGGGAGUCACCCCCUCCUGCACUCCACUUAGCUUGAAAAAGGAUGCCGUGCUAUCCAAAAGCUUGCCAGAAACAUCAACCCACCUCCAAGUUGGUCUAAUAAAAG